rnacentral:siRNA from 1 species
AAAGAUCCGAUGUAGCACAUUGU